rnacentral:sRNA from 1 species
AAAGGGUUGAUUUAUUGAUGAGAAAAGGUAAAAGACUCUAGGUGAAGUAAGCUAAAGAAGCAGAAAAAGUCUAGUAAAGGUUUUGGGAUUUGUAAAGAAAAGAAAGAGAUUUUGUUAGUUAUUAAAGAAGGGCAAAAGCCCUCGGUUUUAAAAUUUUAAAAACAAGAACCUUAGUUGUUAAAGAAAUCCAUAUCAGCUAGAUGUAUCAAAGUGUUGAGAAAGUUUCUC